rnacentral:rRNA from 1 species
AUUGAACGCUGGCGGCAGGCCUAACACAUGCAAGUCGAGCGGAUGAAGGGAGCUUGCUCCUGGAUUCAGCGGCGGACGGGUGAGUAAUGCCUAGGAAUCUGCCUGGUAGUGGGGGAUAACGUCCGGAAACGGGCGCUAAUACCGCAUACGUCCUGAGGGAGAAAGUGGGGGAUCUUCGGACCUCACGCUAUCAGAUGAGCCUAGGUCGGAUUAGCUAGUUGGUGGGGUAAAGGCCUGCCAAGGCGACGAUCCGUAACUGGUCUGAGAGGAUGAUCAGUCACACUGGAACUGAGACACGGUCCCGACUCCUACGGGAGGCAGCAGUGGGGAAUAUUGGACAAUGGGCGAAAGCCUGAUCCAGCCAUGCCGCGUGUGUGAAGAAGGUCUUCGGAUUGUAAAGCACUUUAAGUUGGGAGGAAGGGCAGUAAGUUAAUACCUUGCUGUUUUGACGUUACCAACAGAAUAAGCACCGGCUAACUUCGUG